rnacentral:rRNA from 1 species
CGGCUCAUCACAUCCUGGGGCUGUAGUAGGUCCCAAGGGUUGGGCUGUUCGCCCAUUAAAGUGGUACGCGAGCUGGGUUCAGAACGUCGUGAGACAGUUCGGUCCCUAUCCGUCGCAGGCGUAGGAAAUUUGAGAAGACCUGUCCUUAGUACGAGAGGACCGGGAUGGACGUACCUCUGGUGUACCAGUUGUUCUGCCAAGGGCAUGGCUGGGUAGCUAUGUACGGAAUGGAUAAGCGCUGAAAGCAUCUAAGCGCGAAGCCAACUUCAAGAUAAGAUUUCCCACCGCAAGGGUAAGACCCCAGAAAGACUAUCUGGUUGAUAGGUCGAAGGUGUAAGUGCAGCAAUGUAUUUAGCUUAUCGAUACUAAUAGGUCGAGGACUUGACCAAU